rnacentral:rRNA from 1 species
GGAGUCUACCAUGUGACCGAGUUUUUCGGCUUAAAAACCCGAAAAGCGCAGCGAAAGCGUUUGCCGGUCGUCGGUUCGCGCCGGCGGCCGUAUUAUUGCAAUGGCAGAGAUGAUGGUGGCCAGAUCGGCCGCUCGCAAUCUCGAGGUGGUCUCGUUUCUGUCGCUCGCGGCGGAUGAGCCAUACUCGUAGGUCGCACGCUAAGCCCCGAAAGAUGGUGAACUAUGCCUGACAAGGACGAAGUCUGGGGAAACCCUGAUGGAGGUCCGUAACGCUUCUGACGUGCAAAUCGAUCGGCAUAGUCGGGUAUAGGGGCGAAAGACCAAUCGAACCAUCUAGUAGCUGGUUCCUUUCGAAGUUUCCUUCAGGAUAGCUAGACGUGAUUGACUGACGCGCGCUCGCGCUCGCCGCGAACGCGCUUUACGUAGUCACAUGCGGUAAAGCGAAUGAUUAGAAGUAUUGGGGCCGAAACGGCCUCAACUUAUUCUCAAACUUUCAAUGUGUGUGCUCCGCGAGCUUUCGAAAAUCAUUUAGUCGACGGCUCGUCGCUUCGGCGGCGGGUCGAUUCGGCCGAAGCUCCGGAUAGAUAUGCCACGUCUAAGUGGGCCAUUUUUGGUAAGCAGAACUGGCGAUGUGGGAUGAACCAAACAACAAGUUAAAGUGCCUAAGCCGACGCUCAUGAGAUACCAAAAAAGGCGUUAGUAACUAAAGACAGCAGGACGGUGGCCAU